AGUGAACGCUGGCGGUAGGCCUAACGCAUGCAAGUCGAACGGCAGCACAGUAAGAGCUUGCUCUUACGGGUGGCGAGUGGCGGACGGGUGAGGAAUACAUCGGAAUCUACUUUUUCGUGGGGGAUAACGUAGGGAAACUUACGCUAAUACCGCAUACGACCUACGGGUGAAAGCAGGGGAUCUUCGGACCUUGCGCGAUUGAAUGAGCCGAUGUCGGAUUAGCUAGUUGGCGGGGUAAAGGCCCACCAAGGCGACGAUCCGUAGCUGGUCUGAGAGGAUGAUCAGCCACACUGGAACUGAGACACGGUCCAGACUCCUACGGGAGGCAGCAGUGGGGAAUAUUGGACAAUGGGCGCAAGCCUGAUCCAGCCAUACCGCGUGGGUGAAGAAGGCCUUCGGGUUGUAAAGCCCUUUUGUUGGGAAAGAAAAGCAGCAGGUUAAUACCCCGCUGUUCUGACGGUACCCAAGGAAUAAGCACCGGCUAACUUCGUG
rnacentral:rRNA from 1 species